GCCUGGGUGGCUGAGUCGGUUAAGCGUCCGACUUCGGCUCAGGUCAUGAUCUCGCGGUCCGUGAGUUCGAGCCCCACAUCGGGCU
rnacentral:tRNA from 1 species